rnacentral:tRNA from 2 species
GGUUAGGAAGCUACUAGCAAGUGGUCUUGUAAGCCAUAGAGGGGAGACCCCUAAUCU